UGUAAACCGAUAGAAAAGUAAAGUAAAUCUUAAUUAAGCUUCAGAGAGUCUCGGUUCGCUGUGAAGAGAUAGUCGCGUUAAGAUUGAAAAUCCCUUUUCUGGGUUAAGGUGAAAUUAGUAGCUUUGACUGGAACUGUCCCAUUAUCGACGGAGCAUCUAAGUUUUGUUAGAUGGUUGAGGCCAGGAAACUGGUAAAUUGAGGUGGUACCACGCUCAUAGCGUCCUUUGA
rnacentral:ncRNA from 1 species